UACGUAGGGUGCGAGCGUUGUCCGGAAUUACUGGGCGUAAAGAGCUCGUAGGUGGUUUGUCGCGUUGUCCGUGAAAACUCACAACUCAAUUGUGGGCGUGCGGGCGAUACGGGCAGACUGGAGUACUGCAGGGGAGACUGGAAUUCCUGGUGUAACGGUGAAAUGCGUAGAUAUCUGGAGGAACACCGGUGGCGAAGGCGGCAUCCUGGACCAACACUGACACUGAGGAGCGAAAGCCAGGGGAGCAAACGGG
rnacentral:rRNA from 1 species